rnacentral:rRNA from 1 species
ACUCAAAUGAAUAGACGGGGGCCCGCACAAGCGGUGGAGGAUGUGGUUUAAUUCGACGCAACGCGAAGAACCUUACCAAGGCUUGACAUCCACAGAAGACGCUAGAAAUAGUGUUGUGCCCGAAAGGGAACUGUGAGACAGGUGGUGCAUGGCUGUCGUCAGCUCGUGUCGUGAGAUGUUGGGUUAAGUCCCGCAACGAGCGCAACCCUCGAUGUUAGUUACCAUCAUUAAGUUGGGGACUCUAACGUGACUGCCGGUGAUAAGCCGGAGGAAGGUGAGGACGACGUCAAGUCAUCAUGCCCCUUACGUCUUGGGCUACACACGUCCUACAAUGGCAUAGACAAAGGGCUGCUAGACCGCGAGGUUAUGCGAAUCCCAUAAACUAUGUCUCAGUUCGGAUUGCAGGCUGCAACUCGCCUGCAUGAAGUCGGAAUCGCUAGUAACCGUAGAUCAGCACGCUACGGUGAAUACGUUCCCGGGCCUUGCACACACCGCCCGU